UUGAAAGGGAAACGAUUGAAGUCAGUCGUACCGACGAGAAAUCAGCUUAUCGUGUGUGAACUUGUGGGCGUGCGUGAGUUUCGGCCUCGCUGUUUGCAUGUUCGUGCGCUUUGGGUGUACUUUUUCGUAUGGUAGGCCAACAUCAGUUUCGAUUACUAUAAAAUGACUGGCGGAAUGUAGCUUCGAUUUCGGUUGAAGUGUUAUAGCCUCUGGUAGAUGUGGUGAUUGGGACUGAGGAUUGCAACGAAUAUCCUUUGGGCUAUCCGCCUGGCCUCUGAAAGUUGCUUGGGUGCUGAAAGUUUGCUUAUGGUUAUCUAAGUUAACGGUCAAUAGGUUAGAACGUGAUUACAUUCGUUAAGGAUGUUGACGUA
rnacentral:rRNA from 1 species